rnacentral:lncRNA from 10 species
AAUACUGAGCCUUCAUUCAAACUAAAAGGCUGGAAGGGAGGCAGCUGCCUUUGUUUGCCAUGGAUGGGUAGGGGCUGCACUGAGCAGCACCGGUGUUCUUCAUCCGGCUGCACCCCCAACAGAGCUCUUUCUUCCCCAGAUCCCUUUUACAGUUGGAUUCUCCCUCUUGGAUCUGGCUCUGCCUUAGUCCGACCUAGAGGGAUCAGCUUCGCCCACGCCCACUCUCACCCGGAACCUUUCAUCUCUUAUUGAAGCCUUUUAGGCCCAUUGGGAUGUUCAUUAGAACUCUGAAAACUACAGUUCUCCCCUUUAUGAGGACUGCACCACAGCUCGCCCUCUCCUGGGUUCCGGUAAGAAGAGAUUCCAAUACCACUCUUUUUUCAGAAUUCAGAAAGGCAAGAGACCACCUUACUGAGCUUCAAACUGGGGCUGGGAACGCUGCCAUGAAUUGGGCUUGGUCUGUCUGAAGGGAGCCACCUUUUCGACAAUCCUUAGACUUCUUUUGCCUGUUGGAAUUACACCUUGGAUCGUGGCGAAGUCUAUAGAGGUCAGAUUAAGAAGAACCAAAGCAGAAUAAACGUAGAACCCGAUGCUGAGUUCACGAGUGAGGACGACCUCUUCCUAUAUGCUUUGCUAUACCCUGCGUUUUGAACAUUAAGGACGAGAUAGGAGGCCCAUAAUGUUUCUUCUUGCUUUAAUCCUGUCGUGGCAACGUUGACUUCCAGUAAGAAAGCCUGGUUGCAGAGUGAGCCCAUGGGACAGCCCUCUGAAAUUAUACUGCUUACAACCAUGCUGAGUCUGCAAGGACUUCGUCCAAGCCUUUCCGUCCAGGACCUCAAACAGAUCCAAUCACAAGAAGAGAGAUUUCAGGAAAGAGAAAAUUAUUCCUAUCAUCGGGGUUUUUGAAGAACAUGAAAUGACUGGGAAAAUAAUCAUGUUAAGUGGAAAAAAAAAAGAAAUCUAUCUGUUGUAAUUUUCAAAUAAUUUUUAAAUAAAUUUGAAAAAUUAAGAGAACUAUA